UGUCGUCUGAGUACUAUAUAAUAGUUAAAACUUUCAACAACGGAUCUCUUGGUUCUGGCAUCGAUGAAGAACGCAGCGAAAUGCGAUAAGUAAUGUGAAUUGCAGAAUUCAGUGAAUCAUCGAAUCUUUGAACGCACAUUGCGCCCCUUGGUAUUCCG
rnacentral:rRNA from 1 species